AAUCUAUGUCCAAUUGGACCCAUCAAGUGCCAACUGUCAAAAUAUUCAAAACCGACACUUUUCGUCUAGACUUGGCCAGCCGCAGGCGCAGUUGGUCAUACUUCUGGGCCAAUUAUCAAUAUCUCUGGGCAGGAAGUGGAGCAGGUUGCCGGGCAUCCAAGGAUACCAAACUGGAGCGGCUAUAAUUAUGACAUAUGAUGGCAUAUACAGAUGCCAGGAACGACCCAUGUCAAAAAGUCCGUACAUACAGGCAUAAUUUGGAGCGAUUCGGAGACGUGGACGAGGGUCUUAGGUUCGUGGAAUAAUGAUGCUGGCUUCUUGACACAUUUGAGUGCUAAUUUAGGAGUCUCGCACAUGACCAUGGUCAGGGAUGCAUCGAUUACUGAAAGUAUGGGAGAGGUGUCAUGAGUGCUCCGAUCCACUGGCAGGAUCAUUAAAUUUUGCUC
ensembl:ncRNA lncRNA:CR43409 long non-coding RNA:CR43409